UGCCCUCACGUCAGUCGUUUUAUUCUAAACAUUAAGGAACAUCUCAGAUUCUUAUGAUUGUCUUGCUUUAAAAGGUAAAAACAAACAAAGGGAUUGAACUUAAACAACUUUACUAUAAUGUUCUUUUCAUAAUCUUCAUGUUUGAUAUUUCUCUUGACUUAUAUGCGUGUUUUUAACAACACGGAAAAUCAGAAUUGAGCAGUAUUUAUAUUUAGGGUUUUUAUAAAUUUAGAAACACGUCAGAGGGAAUUCCCCAGUUUUUAUAAAAAUGCGAGAGUUCUCUGAAUUCCUAUAAAUCUAUUUCUGUCAUAUAAGAACUGAAGUGGAGUUUCUCUUAUAUGUCACCAUUAUGAAACUGAUAUUUGAUAUUGUACUUCAAUAAAGAAAUAGAGAACCAUCUAGGUCGUUUUAUUAACAUUUAAUAUACGUUCUUGCUCCAGGGUUUGUUUAGGUAAUUAUGCGCAUGCGUAUAGUUUUCUUGACUUUAAGGGGUAUUAGAUUGAAUGGUUGCUCUGGGUUCCCCGCUCAAUUGAUUGAUUUAAAACUCAUGGGAUCAGUUCUAUGUUUAUUCUGCUACUGAGGGUUAUUGUGGUUUCAUAAUUUUAAAUCAUAUGCAUCAUUUAAAUUAAAAUAAAUGUAGUCCACAUCGCAACACACCUUACGGCGAAAUGGAGUCUUCCAUAUUAUCGUUUCGAG
rnacentral:lncRNA from 1 species